CGAACGCUGGCGGCAUGGCUAAAACAUGCAAGUCGAACGCGAACGCACCUUCGGGUGUUAUUAGAGUGGCGAAAGGGCGAGUAAUGCGUUUCUACAUACCCUCAGGUCGGGGAUAGCCCAGGGAAACUUGGAGUAAUACCCGAUGUGGUCUUCGGAUCAAAGGCUUCGGCCGCCAGAGGAGUGGGGAACGUCCUAUCAGGUUGUUGGUGAGGUAAAGGCUCACCAAGCCGGAGACGGGUAGCGGGUGUGAGAGCAUGACCCGCCGCAUCGGGACUGAGACACUGCCCGGACUCCUACGGGAGGCUGCAGUAACGAAUCUUCCGCAAUGCGCGAAAGCGUGACGGAGCAAUGCCGCGUGCAGGAUGAAGCUUCUCGGAGUGUAAACUGCUGUCAGGGUUUAGCAACACAAUGAGCAGACCCAAAGGAAGGGCCGGCUAACUUC
rnacentral:rRNA from 1 species